rnacentral:rRNA from 1 species
AUUGAACGCUGGCGGCAUGCCUUACACAUGCAAGUCGAACGGUAACGCGGGGCAACCUGGCGACGAGUGGCGAACGGGUGAGUAACGCAUCGGAACGUGCCCAGUAGUGGGGGAUAGCCCGGCGAAAGCCGGAUUAAUACCGCAUACGACCUACGGGUGAAAGGGGGGGAUCGCAAGACCUCUCGCUAUUGGAGCGGCCGAUGUCAGAUUAGGUAGUUGGUGGGGUAAAGGCCUACCAAGCCUGCGAUCUGUAGCUGGUCUGAGAGGACGACCAGCCACACUGGGACUGAGACACGGCCCAGACUCCUACGGGAGGCAGCAGUGGGGAAUUUUGGACAAUGGGCGCAAGCCUGAUCCAGCCAUGCCGCGUGCGGGAAGAAGGCCUUCGGGUUGUAAACCGCUUUUGUCAGGGAAGAAAAGCCUUGGGUUAAUACCCUGGGGUGAUGACGGUACCUGAAGAAUAAGCACCGGCUAACUACGUGCCAGCCGCCGCUGUAACAC